GAUGAACGCCAGCGGCAGGCCUAACACAUGCAAGUCGAGGGGUAGCAGGAUUGAGCUUGCUUAAUUGCUGACGACCGGCGCACGGGUGCGUAACGCGUAUGCAACCUACCUUAUACUGGGGUAUAGCCCGGAGAAAUUCGGAUUAAUCCCCCAUAGUACUAAUGAAUCGCAUGGUUUAUUAGUUAAAGCAUUGCGGUAUAAGAUGGGCAUGCGUCCUAUUAGCUAGAUGGUGAGGUAACGGCUCACCAUGGCUACGAUAGGUAGGGGGCCUGAGUGGGUGGUCCCCCACACUGGUACUGAGACACGGACCAGACUCCUACGGGAGGCAGCAGUGAGGAAUAUUGGUCAAUGGGCGCAAGCCUGAACCAGCCAUGCCGCGUGCAGGAAGAAUGCCCUAUGGGUUGUAAACUGCUUUUAUUUGGGAAUAAACCUCUUUACGUGUAGAGAGCUGAAGGUACCAAAUGAAUAAGCACCGGCUAACUCCGUGCCAGCCGCCGCGGUAA
rnacentral:rRNA from 1 species